CCGAGUUUACAACUCCCAAACCCCUGUGAACCUACCUAUAUGUUGCCUCGGCGGAUCAGCUCGCGCCCCGUAAAACGGGACGGCCCGCCGCAGGAUCCACAAACUCUGUUUUUAUUGUAACUUCUGAGUAACAAAACAAAUAAAUCA
rnacentral:misc_RNA from 1 species